rnacentral:rRNA from 1 species
UACGUAGGGCGCAGGCGUUGUCCGGAAUUACUGGGCGUAAAGAGCUCGUAGGCGGCUUGUCACGUCGGGUGUGAAAGCCCGGGGCUUAACCCCGGGUCUGCAUUCGAUACGGGCUAGCUAGAGUGUGGUAGGGGAGAUCGGAAUUCCUGGUGUAGCGGUGAAAUGCGCAGAUAUCAGGAGGAACACCGGUGGCGAAGGCGGAUCUCUGGGCCAUUACUGACGCUGAGGAGCGAAAGCGUGGGGAGCGAACAGG